rnacentral:lncRNA from 1 species
GAUGAGUCCUGUUUCAAGGUGUUGGAAUAUGUUGCUUUCAAUUAGUAGAGCUGUUAGUCUAUGUUCUUGGUUAUUAUAAUGGACGAUUCUUUCGAAGUUUCGAAAGUGGGUUUGGUAAAGCAAUCCAGUUUAGCUUAUUUUAUUUUAUUUGGAAGGAUGGGAACGGUGAGAAUGGGAUGUUGAGGUCUUAGAAGAAAUUUUUUUUAAAGAAAAUAAAGGUGAGAUCCUUUAAUUGAUGAGCCAAGAAUUGCUCGACUGGGGAUUAAGAAUAAAAGGAGGGUUUGGGAGUGUAGGAACUUCGCAAAAAAGAAGAAGAAAAAAACUGGGUUUACGUGUGAUUGAUAAUGAAGAACAAGUGAUAAAGAAGCUGGAGCAAAUUAGAGGGAAAAGACUUAAUAUAGAUUUUUAAGGUACUCUUCUUCUUCUUUUUCUAUUUUGAUUGUUAUUGUCUUUAACUUUGAAUUGCAAUUGCUUCUCAAUCGAAAAUCUUUUUGAAUUAUGAGAGAAGAACAACGGGGUUAACACAAUUCAAACCUAUAUCACAUCUGGGUGGGAGAAUACUUUCAUUAUUAGGCUAACAUAUGGAUUCAUAGAACAACGCGGUUAACGCAACUUGAACUCAUAUCACAUCUGGGUGGAGGAGUACCCUCGUUAUUAGGCCAACAUUCAGAUUCAGUGGAUUAUCUUUUUAAAGUUAUUGAGGUGAGUUGUUUGUUAUAUUAAUGUUUUGAUUUUCUAGUUGUUGCAAAAGGGUUGUGUUUUGUAGUGGUAUCCUUACAAGGGUACUAAGGGUUGUUUGGUUUUUGUUAUUGUACUGUUAAUUUUAUUUGUCUGUUUUUGGUUGGUGUCAUCAUUGUUUUCUAGUGCUUCUAAGUGAAUGAAUUUAUGAUGAUUGCCUUCGUUCAUAAAAUACUUAAAGAAAAGGAAAAGAAAAGAAAAGGGUUAUCAUGGUAAGGUAGCCUUCGUAUUUAAGAUGCAUACAUCCAAAACGUAUAGGGUGCAUCUAAAGUAAUCACAGUUAUCAUGAUAAGAUAUUCUUUUGUAUUUAAAAUAUUCAUAGUGAGAGUCAUUUUACCUAAAUUCGUUUUUUUGUGUAAAUACUUAUUUUUAUAUUUAAGAUAACAGAUAAGAUAAUAU